rnacentral:rRNA from 1 species
UACAGAGGGGGGCAAGCGUUGUUCGGAAUUACUGGGCGUAAAGGGCGCGUAGGCGCCUUCUAAGUCGAACGUGAAAUCCCCGGGCUCAACCCGGGAACUGCGUCCGAUACUGGAAGGCUUGAAUCCGGGGAGAGGGAUGUGGAAUUCCAGGUGUAGCGGUGAAAUGCGUAGAUAUCUGGAGGAACACCGGUGGCGAAGGCGACAUCCUGGACCGGUAUUGACGCUGAGGCGCGAAAGCCAGGGGAGCAACGGG